UACUGGCGUUUCGUGGGAGGCAUUUAUAACAAGGACAGAAAGACCAGAAUUGGGAAGAAAAAAAAAUAUCUGGGCCAUAUUCCCUUUGUAUCAGCAGCUUCCUGAUGAGAAUAACAUUCUUGAAAAAGCAGAAGCCAUCAUUGGUCCAUACUUGGAGUAAGGGAAUCUCUGGACUUUCUUUGUAAAUUCCUCUAGAUUUAGUUGAGAAUCUUGUUGAUAUUUGAAGUGCCCAUAUUAUUUUUCCCCCCAAAUAUUACUUUUCAUGCAUUGUAAAAUAGCUGUUUGUAAAUGUAAAAGGUCUGCAAAAGUUUAAAGAUCAAAUUUCAUGACAAAUAAAGUUUUGUCUCCUAAAAGUAAGAAUUGAUUCUGAACUGCUGUGCUGAAGUGAGUGUCAGAAACUCCAGUCUCACUUCCUGUUAGCAAUUACCUGUUAGGUUUGUCUGCAUAGUGCCAGCCUAUGGACUUCAUUGGCUGUCCCUCAAACGUCUACUCUAAUCUGCCCUCAAUCACUGUUGUUGUAGCUGAGGCCGAACUGAGUAUAGUAGGCUCUAGGAAUGGCAGGGUUUAAGGAUGU